AGGCACUCUGAUUAACAACUCUUAAUAAGCAGGUGAGGAUUAGUACGGGGGUGCGCAAAAGUGUAUACUCCCAUGGGCUGGCGUCCAGUCCACGAUUGGUUUCUACCAUCUUCCUGUUGGUUAUUAGUAGAAGCCACAGCUCUCUGCAAUCCUGUAUCGGAGAAGGCGGGUUCAGAACAUGAAUGGAUGAAAGUGUCUUCAACGAGACGCGCUUCCUCGCUUUCGCGUAACAAACUUGUGUAUCAGACAAAACCGGAGCCGCGCGCCGUACGCUCUGUGUGGCUUAUUGGCUGAUACCGUGGGCGCUCACGCGGAGACUGGCCGCUAAGAUCCCGAAAGCCCGCCUUCCUCUCCCGCCUUCGACUGCGGGCCGAAUCGAGUGCGCGCCCAGGCACACACGCACGAGCACCAGAAGCUGGCCCUUUAAAUUCCACAUCCUCCACUCGUCGUUCCUAGGACCAUGUUUUGGCCCUGGGCGGACUGAAGCAUUCUGACAGGUAAUUAACAAAGAAAAUGAGGUGGAGAAAACAGUCUGUUCUGUACCAGCUAUGUGGAUAUAAUUUGCUUCUUCAGCCAAUUGAUUGGCUGAAUUAUUAAGAAGGCGUGGCAUUAUUUAAACUAUCAAGAGAAAAAAUAUUGGGCCACACAGAAGAGAUAA